AACGAACGCUGGCGGCAGGCCUAACACAUGCAAGUCGAGCGGCAGCACGGGGGCAACCCUGGUGGCGAGUGGCGAACGGGUGAGUAAUGCAUCGGAACGUGCCCUGUCGUGGGGGAUAACACAUCGAAAGAUGUGCUAAUACCGCAUACGACCUGAGGGUGAAAGCGGGGGACCGUAAGGCCUCGCGCGAUAGGAGCGGCCGAUGUCUGAUUAGCUAGUUGGUGGGGUAAAGGCCUACCAAGGCGACGAUCAGUAGCUGGUCUGAGAGGACGACCAGCCACACUGGGACUGAGACACGGCCCAGACUCCUACGGGAGGCAGCAGUGGGGAAUUUUGGACAAUGGGGGCAACCCUGAUCCAGCCAUGCCGCGUGCGGGAAGAAGGCCUUCGGGUUGUAAACCGCUUUUGGCAGGAACGAAACGGUGCGGGCGAAUACCCUGUGCUAAUGACGGUACCUGCAGAAUAAGCACCGGCUAACUACGUGCCAGCCGCCGCGGUAAAAC
rnacentral:rRNA from 1 species